rnacentral:rRNA from 1 species
AGUGGCGAACGGGUGAGUAAUGCAUGAGCAACCUGCCCUUCAGAGGGGGACAACAGUUGGAAACGACUGCUAAUACCGCAUAACAUAUCCGGGAGGCAUCUCCUGGAUAUCAAAGAUUUAUCGCUGAAGGAUGGGCUCAUGUCUGAUUAGCUAGUUGGUGGGGUAACGGCCCACCAAGGCUGCGAUCAGUAGCCGGUCUGAGAGGAUGAACGGCCACAUUGGGACUGAGAUACGGCCCAGACUCCUACGGGAGGCAGCAGUGGGGAAUAUUGGGCAAUGGGCGCAAGCCUGACCCAGCAAUGCCGCGUGAAGGAAGAAGGCCCUCGGGUUGUAAACUUCUUUUAUCAGGGACGAAGGAUGUGACGGUACCUGAUGAAUAAGCUCCGGCUAACUACGUGCCAGCAGCCGCGGUAAUACGUAGGGAGCAAGCGUUAUCCGGAUUUACUGGGUGUAAAGGGCGCGUAGGCGGGAUGGCAAGUCAGAUGUGAAAUCCAGGGGCUCAACCCCUGAACUGCAUUUGAAACUGUCGUUCUUGAGUACUGGAGAGGUUGACGGAAUUCCUAGUGUAGCGGUGAAAUGCGUAGAUAUUAGGAGGAACACCAGUGGCGAAGGCGGUCAACUGGACAGCAACUGACGCUGAGGCGCGAAAGCGUGGGGAGCAAACAGGAUUAGAUACCCUGGUA